CAGAAGUGGCGCUGUGGCUCAAGUGGCAGAUGGUAGAGUGUUAGCCUUGAGCAAAAAGAAGCCAGGGACAGUGCUCAGGCCCUGAGUACAAGUCCCAGGACUGGCCAAAAAAAAAAAAAAAAAAAAAAGAAAGAAAGAAAAAGUAGCAAACAUACACAAAUAAUUCUGAAGUAAGGACAUUUUAAGGUAAAGUAGUAGAUGUAUUCAAGUGAUAUAAUGUAAGCAAUAGUCAAUUUUAUUGGUUCAGUACUUCCU